UACGGGGGGGGCAAGCGUUGUUCGGAAUUACUGGGCGUAAAGGGUUCGUAGGUGGCUUGCUAAGUCAGACGUGAAAUCCCUCGGCUCAACCGGGGAACUGCGUCUGAGACUGGCGAGCUUGAGUGCAGGAGAGGAACGCAGAAUUCCAGGUGUAGCGGUGAAAUGCGUAGAUAUCGGGAGGAACACCAGUGGCGAAGGCGACUUCCUGGCCUGUUCUUGACGCUGAGGCGCGAAAGCUAGGGGAGCAAACGGG
rnacentral:rRNA from 1 species